rnacentral:misc_RNA from 1 species
AAAAUGCGAUAAGUAAUGUGAAUUGCAGAAUUCAGUGAAUCAUCGAAUCUUUGAACGCACAUUGCGCCCGCCAGUAUUCUGGCGGGCAUGCCUGUUCGAGCGUCAUUUCAACCCUCAAGCCCCCGGGUUUGGUGUUGGGGAUCGGGCUGCGGUUCUACCGCGUCCCGGCCCCGAAAUCUAGUGGCGGUCUCGCUGCAGCCUCCAUUGCGUAGUAGCUAACACCUCGCAACUGGAACGCGGCGCGGCCAAGCCGUUAAACCCCCAACUUCUGAAUGUUGACCUCGGAUCAGGUAGGAAUACCCGCUGAACAUAAGC